GGGGCAGUGGCGGAAUUGGUAGACGCGCUGGAUUUAGGUUCCAGUAGAGAAAUCUGUCAGGGUUCAAGUCCCUGCCGCCCCACCA
rnacentral:tRNA from 1 species